rnacentral:misc_RNA from 1 species
AUGUGAUUGGGGCCACCGUAUUGUUUUCACCCAAUAAGAGAGCUCCAUUGUCUUGGCGCUUUGAAUCUCUUUUCUUAGAAGGUAGACUAAAAGAAGUGUAAAAAACACAAGGUGCAAAAAACUGGCUAGUUCCCAGAUCCUGGUUAGUGAUGAAACCAUUUACAUUUAAGUCUCUCACAACUAUUUCAAUUGGUUUUCCUCCCUCUCUAUCUGCUUUCUCUCUGUUCUUG